CGGACGGGUGAGUAACACGUGGAUAACCUACCUAUAAGACUGGGAUAACUUCGGGAAACCGGAGCUAAUACCGGAUAAUAUAUUGAACCGCAUGGUUCAAUAGUGAAAGACGGUUUUGCUGUCACUUAUAGAUGGAUCCGCGCCGCAUUAGCUAGUUGGUAAGGUAACGGCUUACCAAGGCAACGAUGCGUAGCCGACCUGAGAGGGUGAUCGGCCACACUGGAACUUAGACACGGUCCAGACUCCUACGGGAGGCAGCAGCG
rnacentral:rRNA from 1 species